GCCCCCUUAGCUCAGGGGAUAGAGCACCGGCCUCCGGAGCCGGGUGCGCAGGUUCGAAUCCUGCAGGGGGCG
rnacentral:tRNA from 2 species